rnacentral:rRNA from 1 species
GAUGAACGCUGGCGGCGUGCUUAACACAUGCAAGUCGAACGAAGCACUUUAUUACGAUUUCUUCGGAAUGACGAUUUAGUGACUGAGUGGCGGACGGGUGAGUAACGCGUGGGUAACCUGCCUUAUACAGGGGGAUAACAGUUAGAAAUGACUGCUAAUACCGCAUAAGCGCACAGGAUUGCAUGAUACAGUGUGAAAAACUCCGGUGGUAUAAGAUGGACCCGCGUCUGAUUAGCUUGUUGGUGAGGUAACGGCCCACCAAGGCGACGAUCAGUAGCCGGCCUGAGAGGGUGAACGGCCACAUUGGGACUGAGACACGGCCCAAACUCCUACGGGAGGCAGCAGUGGGGAAUAUUGCACAAUGGGCGAAAGCCUGAUGCAGCGACGCCGCGUGAGCGAAGAAGUAUUUCGGUAUGUAAAGCUCUAUCAGCAGGGAAGAUAAUGACGGUACCUGACUAAGAAGCACCGGCUAAAUACGUGCCAGC